rnacentral:tRNA from 1 species
AGGAACUUAGGAUAACGUCUAAGACCACGGGCCUUCAAAGCCUUAAGCGGGAGUGAAAACCUCCCAGUCCCUG